AGCGGCGAACGGGUGAGUAACACGAAGGUGAUCUGCCCAUCAGACGGGGACAACGAUUGGAAACGAUCGCUAAUACCGGAUAGGACGAAAGUUUAAAGGUGCUUCUGGCACCGCUGAUGGAUGAGCCUGCGGCGCAUUAGCUAGUUGGUAGGGUAAAGGCCUACCAAGGCAACGAUGCGUAGCCGACCUGAGAGGGUGAACGGCCACACUGGGACUGAGACACGGCCCAGACUCCUACGGGAGGCAGCAGUAGGGAAUCUUCGGCAAUGGGCGAAAGCCUGACCGAGCAACGCCGCGUGAAUGAUGAAGGCCUUCGGGUUGUAAAAUUCUGUUAUAAGGGAAGAACGACUUUAGUAGGAAAUGGCUAGAGUGUGACGGUACCUUAUGAGAAAGCCACGGCUAACUACGUGCCAGCAGCCGCGGUAAUACGUAGGUGGCGAGCGUUAUCCGGAAUUAUUGGGCGUAAAGAGCGCGCAGGUGGUUGAUUAAGUCUGAUGUGAAAGCCCACGGCUUAACCGUGGAGGGUCAUUGGAAACUGGUCGACUUGAGUGCAGAAGAGGGAAGUGGAAUUCCAUGUGUAGCGGUGAAAUGCGUAGAGAUAUGGAGGAACACCAGUGGCGAAGGCGGCUUCCUGGUCUGUAACUGACACUGAGCGCGAAAGCGUGGGGAGCAACAGGAUUAGAUACCCUGGUAGUCCACGCCGUAAACGAUGAGUGCUAAGUGU
rnacentral:rRNA from 1 species